rnacentral:rRNA from 1 species
UGGGGAAUUUUGGACAAUGGGGGAAACCCUGAUCCAGCCAUCCCGCGUGUGCGAUGAAGGCCUUCGGGUUGUAAAGCACUUUUGGCAGGAAAGAAACGUCGCGGGUUAAUACCCCGCGAAACUGACGGUACCUGCAGAAUAAGCACCGGCUAACUACGUGCCAGCAGCCGCGGUAAUACGUAGGGUGCAAGCGUUAAUCGGAAUUACUGGGCGUAAAGCGUGCGCAGGCGGUUCAGAAAGAAAGAUGUGAAAUCCCAGAGCUUAACUUUGGAACUGCAUUUUUAACUACCGGGCUAGAGUGUGUCAGAGGGAGGUGGAAUUCCGCGUGUAGCAGUGAAAUGCGUAGAUAUGCGGAGGAACACCGAUGGCGAAGGCAGCCUCCUGGGAUAACACUGACGCUCAUGCACGAAAGCGUGGGGAGCAAACAGGAUUAGAUACCCUGGUAGUCCACGCCCUAAACGAUGUCAACUAGCUGUUGGGGCCUUCGGGCCUUGGUAGCGCAGCUAACGCGUGAAGUUGACCGCCUGGGGAGUACGGUCGCAAGAUUAAAACUCAAAGGAAUUGACGGGGUCAUAGCUGUUUCCUG